AAAGAGGGGUGCUGCUCCACAAAUAUCCGAUCCUCACGUGGGAAGCUAUGGGGAGCAGCUGCCAGGCAGGAGGUUGAGAAAUCAGAGGAAUUUUCAAUAUGCCACUCCUUCCUGCCAGGAAAUCUCCUGCUUUUAUGCCAGUGGAAGACAUGUUUUUCAUCUUUUGUUGAAAGUUUUAUAGUUUUUCCUAACAGAAAGCAGAUUCUUAGACCCUAGAGCCAUCACAGUUGAAAAGACGUGAACAGGGAAUCUGUUCUCAAUCCCUUUUUCACAGAAGUGUGGCAGCUGGGAGUGCCCCCAACCCUGCUACGCUAGGGUUACUGCAACUUCUCUCAAGGCUGCUCUCUAUGGUUUUAAUGACAAUUUAUGUGUGCAAGUGUUCCAUAUUUCCAUAAUCUGCUUGCAGCCAUUUCCAGUACUUAUUCCCUCAGGCCUUGCUGUAUAUUGUGUGCACCUCUUUCCCUUCUCCCACCAUUUGUGCUAGGUUUUGUGUUCUUUCAUAGGCAGAGAUUUAGCAGAUGGGCACAGAGCCUUCAUUUUUCACAGGGGCUUAAGUGAUAGUUUUAUUUGGCUUCUGUAUAGUUCAGAAUUGUUACAUUUCAAAGAAUCAGGGAAAAGAAAACAAAAAAGGUGUGCUUAUCCUGAUAUAUCUGUUGGUUCUUAGAGCUUGACCAUUUUC